CACCUGGUUGAUCCUGCCAGUAGUCAUAUGCUUGUCUCAAAGAUUAAGCCAUGCAUGUCUAAGUAUAAGCUUUAAACGGCGAAACUGCGAAUGGCUCAUUAAAACAGUUAUAGUUUAUUUGGUGAUCGAUUACUAUUUGGAUAACCGUAGUAAUUCUAGAGCUAAUACAUGCGUCAAGGCCCGACUUCGGAAGGGCUGCGUUUAUUAGAUACAGAACCAAC
rnacentral:ncRNA from 1 species